ensembl:rRNA 5S_rRNA 5S ribosomal RNA
CUCUAUGGCCAUGCCACCCUGAAUAAGUCCGAUACCAUCUGAUCUUGGAAACUAAGCAGGGUCGGGCUUAGAUGGAUGGGAGACCACCUAGGAAGACCAGGUGCUGUAGGUG